UACGGAGGGUGCGAGCGUUGUCCGGAACCACUGGGCGUAAAGGGCGCGUAGGCGGCCUGAUAAGUAGGGGGUGAAAUCCUGCGGCUUAACCGCAGGGCUGCCUUCUAGACUGUCAGGCUAGAGCACAGUAGAGGCAGGUGGAAUUCCCGGUGUAGCGGUGGAAUGCGUAGAGAUCGGGAAGAACAUCAGUGGCGAAGGCGACUUCCUGGCCUGUUCUUGACGCUGAGGCGCGAAAGCUAGGGUAGCAAACGGG
rnacentral:rRNA from 1 species